rnacentral:rRNA from 1 species
CAGUAGCCGCGGUAAUACAGAGGGUUCAAGCGUUAAUCGGAAUUACUGGGCGUAAAGCGCGCGUAGGUGGUUUGUUAAGUUGGAUGUGAAAUCCCCGGGCUCAACCUUGGAACUGCAUCCAAAACUGGCAAGCUAGAGUAUGGUAGAGGGUGGUGGAAUUUCCUGUGUAGCGGUGAAAUGCGUAGAUAUAGGAAGGAACACCAGUGGCGAAGGCGACCACCUGGACUGAUACUGACACUGAGGUGCGAAAGCGUGGGGAGCAAACAGGAUUAGAUACCCCAGUAGUCCCUGUCUCUUAUAC